GGUCACUUAGCUCAGUGGUAGAGCGUUAGCUUCGCAUGCGAAAGGCCCGGGGUUCGAUCCCCGCAUCUCCA
rnacentral:tRNA from 1 species